UGCGAGUCGAACGGUACGGGGAGGCUCUUCGGAGCGCCCACGACCGUGGCGUCCGGGUGCGUAACACGUAGCUAACCUACCGGUCGGUGGGGGAAAACUCCGGGAAACCGGAGGUAAUCCCGCAUAUGGUCGCCUGGUAGACAGGUGGACGAAAGCUGUGGCAGGGGAACCUGGCAUGGCGCCGGCUGAGGGGGCUGCGGCCGAUUAGCUAGUUGGUGGGGUAAUGGCUCACCAAGGCAGUGAUCGGUAGCGGGUCUGAGAGGAUGAUCCGCCACACGGGGACUGAGAUAUGGUCCCGAGCCCUACGGGGUUUAGCAUGGAGGAAUCUUGCGCAGUGGGCGAAAGCCUGACGCAGCGACGCCGCGUGGGGGAUGAAGGCCUUCGGGUUGUAAACCCCUUUUCUGGGGGACGAAUUUGACGGUACCCCAGGAAGAAGCCACGGCUAACAGGGUGCCAGCAGCCGCGGUAAUACCUUGGUGGCAAACGUUAUCCGGAAUCACUGGGCGUAAAGCGCUCGUAGGCGGCCUGGUAGGUGUUCGGUGAAAGCCCCCGGCUCACCCGGGGAGGGUCCGAGCAAACCACCAGGCUGGAGGCAGGCAGAGGACCGUGGAACGUCCGGGGGAGUAGUGGAAUGCGUAGAUCCCGGACGGAACACCAGAGGCGAAGGCGGCGGUCUGGGCCUGACCUGACGCUAAGGGGCGAAAGCGCGGGGAGCAAACAGGAUUA
rnacentral:rRNA from 1 species